CCUGUUCAAGACGACGAGAUGGUGUCCUUCAUACUUACGGGGCUUGAUUACGACUACAACUCCCUAGUGUCUUCUGUUAUGGGUCGCACAGAUCCAAUCUCCUUGAGUGACUUAUAUGCUCAGCUACUUGCAUA